rnacentral:rRNA from 1 species
CCUGCCCAGUGACGUUCAACGGCCGCGGUAUCCUAACCGUGCGAAGGUAGCGUAAUCACUUGUCUUCUAAAUAAAGACUAGUAUGAAAGGCAUCACGAGGAUUAAACUGUCUCCUCCCUCUAAUCAGUGAACCUAAUCUCCCCGUGAAGAAGCGGGGAUAACCUUAUAAGACGAGAAGACCCUAUGGAGCUUAAAACAGUACCACACGUGCACGCUGAUUACAUGUUUUUGGUUGGGGUGACCGCGGAGAACAAACUAUCCUCCACGAUGAAAAACUACAAGCCACAACUUUAAUUAUCAAUAAAUUGACAUUCAUUGACCCAAUAUUUUGAUCAACGAACCAAGUUACCCUAGGGAUAACAGCGCAAUCCACUUUAAGAGCUCAUAUCGACAAGUGGGCUUACGACCUCGAUGUUGGAUCAGGGUAUCCCAGUGGUGCAGCCG